GGAGAUGGAGUUUCACCAUGUUGGACAGGCUGGUCUCAAACUCCUGACUUCAGGUGAACCAUCUGCCUUGGCCUCUCCAAAUGCUGGGUUUACAGGCACAAGCCACUGCACCCAGCUAGUGUUGUUAACUUUCAUAGGGAAGGCAUACUUUGGAGACAGUACGUUGAGGUUAUGUCAGUGUCCUGCAUCUUAUCAGAAUUCUGCAGAGAGAUUUUAGCCACCUUGAAGGAUUCUUGUCUGCAACACUGAUUUCUUGCUUCAAGUGAUUCUCUAUUUCCCUCAUUCUUUCUACAUUAAUCAAUUGAAAAUCUUCCGUAAAGAUCACUGGUCCCCUCUUCUACACUUGUUUAUUCAUUCAGUUAUUUAUUUAUAUCUGCAUAGACUUGCCAAUACUUACUUUAUUGUAUGGCUAAUAAUUUCAUACUAUCGAUAUGCACUUUCUAGCUAAGAUGCUUUCAGGUCUGGCCAAUGGGAGCUCCUUAAGACUGGCUCCUGUGUCCUUCCAGCGAGCUCCAUCCUUUAGUGAGAACCUCUUUGCUCCUGUGUAACAAGAUGUUUUGCAUUCAUCUGGUAUUUUUUUCUGUCAGCUUUGAAAUCAAGUUCUUCUUCAAUGAGACCUGGCUCUUUUGAUUAGAGGGUGGUUGGAAAGUGAGCACUGGACAGGAUUCUGCUGUUGCUUCUAGCUCCCCCCAGUGGACAGAACUAGAAAAUAUACCUAAGUCUAUCAACCCCUUAGAGGGACACACAUCCAUUAAUACACUUAGGACUAAAUGGACAUAAUUUUUUAAAUACACGAGUUUACACAAAUGCCUUCAAUUACCAUCCAGCACCACAGACUAUAUCCUAAUAUCCCAUUUUUCCAUUUCAUUUUCCAACAGUGAGAAACCUGGCCCUCAGGCUUUACCAUGGAUGGCUCAGGGCUUCUUGUUUUUGUUUUUUUGUUUUUCUCAUUCGAUGGUUCAGCUUUUUUAUUCCUACAGAGGAGCUUCAGAACCGUGAAUCCACGUGAACCUCUGGGAGACAUUUGCUAGCUAGAUGGUUUUUCCCACUAGUCUUCUCUCAUUUAGCAAUAUGCUAUCCUUCAAAAUACUCUUGUGCAAAGUUUUAGACAGACCACCUCCUUCCCUGCCCCUAUCACUGUAGCUGUGUUAUUCUUUCACGAGAGAUAGAGAUUCAAUUGUUGUUGUUUGGGGUUUUCCCCAAAUCCUGGCUGAUUCACCCAAGUAGGACCCAGGCUGCAUGCCCAUCUCCAGCCCAUGGCAGCUCUCCUGUAAGCUGGACAGGCUUCUGAGGGCAAGAAAAUAGGUGGCUGAGAUUACCCAGGGCCCCGCACAGGUGGUGGAAAGGCUGGACUCAGCAGCAACACCAAACCCCAGACCCAGCAGAAACCACCCAAGACCAGGCGAUCUUACCAGAGCAGUGGCCGCAGGGGGAGAGCUGGGUCCCGUCCUGGAGAACGCUGCAUUUCCCAGCCCCGAACCAGCUUUGCUUCUGCACAGGCUUUUGAGCCAGGACGCAGGUAAGUGACACACCUCAAGUCCUAAAGCCAUCAUCACUCCUGGAACCCAGUGGGGGAGGAUCCCUUUGAGAACAUGGAAAGUGUGGUUAUCCCACCAUUAGACAGCAAACACCAUACGUAAAUAGAAGUUGCAUGGGGACGCAGGUAGGGGGGAAACGAAAAUUGAUUGGCACAGACGUCAAUAGAUUGCUUUCCAGUUUCAAGGCCGCAGAUGCACAUCAUGAGACCAGAGGAGACAGAGACCAGCACUGGAUUUGGCUUUUCUAAGCCACAUGUGUUCCCUUGCAGGGCUGGAGGGUCACGGAGACAGACAGAGAUGGAAGCCAGGACAGGGGAGCCCACCAGACCCAGAAAGUUACAGAGGGCAGAGAGGCUCCUGUUCUGCCUUCCCCACCCACCAGGGUGACUCUUCUUGCAAACGGUGCCUGUGCCCUCCCAGCAAGAAAAAAGCACAACUAAAUCCACACCACACACAGAUGCAGACAGAAAACCUUCCUGUGGCUCUGUUUUCUGCUCCCAGACUCACCAGGUCCACGAGCAGAGAAGUGUGAGGCACACAACCCCGCUGUCAGGCUCCCCGAGGUGCUGCGGGCUCAGCAGGAGCUGCCCAUCCACACACAGGGGACACCCACUACUCUGACCUUGGGAGAGGUUGCCGGACAGAGCCGCGCUGGGUGCUGGCAUCAUCCUGGGACCCCACACACUUUCCUGAGUGCGAUCCCACUUUCCUCCUCUGGGCAGAUGCAUCCUCUUCUCCUGCAGGAUUUUCUGGAAACUCAGCUCUCGGCUUCGGGUCCCUUCUCCCCUUUCCCUGCCCCAAACCUCUUUCUAAAAAAGUGAUGCAGUUGUUUAUGGGUUAAUUUCUUGCAAAUAGGUGGCAGCCUCCACGCUUCUGUUUUCUUUUAGCAAGAUGGUCAGGUGGGGUUGCAAAGAAUGCCUGGACUCCCAUGCAUGUGCCGACAGAGGGGGUGGCGGGUGGUCCUGAGGCUCCACCUGCUCUGGGAAGGAGCCCCCGGUCCCUAGGCCUGGUUCCUGCCUAACUCUCCAUGUAUCCUGUUCUCCAGAGACUUGAGAACCCAUUCCUGAGGGCAGCGGAGCCAGGCGCUUAGAGGAAGACAAAAUGCAGCCAGGACACGGAUUGUCCACGGAAUACAUUCUAGCAUCUUAUCAGAGAUGGAGUUUGCUACAUUGCCUAGAAUGCUUUCAAACACCUGGGUUCUGUUAUCCUGCCGUGACCUCUCAAAGUGCUGGGAUUACAGGCAUGAGCCACCACGCCUGAACACUCUGGGUGGUGCUAAGCCCCCAGCAGGGUGCAGCAGCAGGACCAGGAGGUGGCCUGGGCCCCCCGAUAACGCUCCCAUUCGUGCAGACCUAGGCAAGUUUCUCUCUGCAUCUUGACCACCUCCACAUACAAUGCAGGACCGAAACAGAGGGGGCUGUUUCAACGCCACCAACAGGAGAGAAGCGGAAGGGCUGGGCCAUGCUGGAGUCCUCAGGGAGGGAGCGACCUCGACCCUGGCUGUGCUGCAAGCUGACUCCAGCCCUGAUACUUCUGGGUCUAGGUGGCCCAGGACAAGGGGCCUAGGACAAGGGUCCAGCUCUGGGCUGGUGGGGAGGUCUCCUUCAUGAUCUGGAUGGGAGGGAAUUGGGGGGUUCAAGUGCACUGGUGGCCAUGGCAAAACCUCUGAGCUUUUUGUUAAGGCCACAGUGCAGAGGAAGAAGAGUGGCAAAGAGGAGAGGCUGGGGCAGGGGCAUCAGUGGCACUAGUCCCCAGAGGCAGUGAAGGACUGCAGGCAGGGGUCAGGAGAAAAGGUCCUCGGAAAUUGGGGUAGAACUCGUCUGAUGGGAGCACUGGGGCACCCUGGAAUCCUGGGCAGCCAUAGGAGAGCUGGGCUACCUUUUC